rnacentral:rRNA from 1 species
GUAGGUGGCAAGCGUUGUCCGGGAAUUAUUGGGGCGUAAAGCGCGCGCAGGCGGUUUUUUAAGUCUGAUGUGAAAGCCCACGGGCUCAACCGUGGGAGGGUCAUUGGAGACUGGAGAACUUGAGUACAGAAGAGGAAAGCGGAAUUCCACGUGUAGCGGUGAAAUGCGUAGAGAUGUGGAGGAACACCAGUGGCGAAGGCGGCUUUCUGGUCUGUAACUGACGCUGAGGCGCGAAAGCGUGGGGAGCAAACAGGAUUAGAUACCCUGGUAGUCCACGCCGUAAACGAUGAGUGCUAAGUGUUAGGGGGUUUCCGCCCCUUAGUGCUGCAGCUAACGCAUUAAGCACUCCGCCUGGGGAGUACGGCCGCAAAGGCUGA